UGGCGACCUCGAGGGCUCGGAACUUCUGGUACUUUGGUCAGUCGAAGUCGCGCAGCCGUAGGGGUUGAGCUUGAGUGUAGAGGAUAAUCAAAUCGGAAGUUUAUUUUAUCGGAAAUAUAUUCAUCUCGGGACCGCGUGUGAUAGUCGUGUUAUUCAAGUGCAUUACCAUCAGUGUAGUUUCGUGUUCGGUACUAUAGUUUCGUGUUCGGUACUUUAGUUUCGUGUUCGGUACUAUAUUUUCGUGUUUGGUACUUUAUUUCCGUGUUCGGUACUUUACUAUUAAAAUUUUUUUCUGUGAAUUAUUUCGUGAUUAUAGAAAGUGCAGUGAAUAGUUGAACAACCUUACUUUCCGCAAGUUUUCUAUCCGCCGAAAGUUUUCGUCAGCGACCCUCUACUUUUUCUGUCCAGUGUAAUAGUUUGCCGUGUUUUACAAUAAGUGUUACUAUUUGUCACUCGUGUCGGUUGUCAUUGUGCGAAUUUUCGGAAGUGUUUAUUCUGUGAUUAUUUUUAUGAAAUUUGAUUUGAGGAUAUCGUUUCGGAAGUCAAUUUGCUCACGUGUAUUCCUCAGCGUUGAUUCGCCAACAUUCGAGAAGGCGAUGAACGAGGAUGGAAAUCUUCACCCUACGCAUCAGAGCUGUUCCUGACCUUGCAGAUCAUCGCUUCUUCACGGUAAGAUCUC